AUUCCCUCAGAUUCGUCGGCCAUCUCGGCGGUGGCGGGGAGGAUCGAAUUGAGGGCUUUUCCGUGUAGGAGGUGGCAGGAUGGAGGAGACCAAGAUGUCGCAUCGGGAGACUUUCGGCGCUGUCCAUUCUGCAGUGGUGGAGGUUCAGUGUCACGGUCAUCAUCACGAAUAAGUUGAUCUUUCAGGGUGUUGCUGGUCAAGAACAAAAGCGUUGAGAUGUUGAUCACUAUAAAAUUAAAUAGCUGGAAUAAAAAAUGGAAAUACUUGAGCUGUAGCUGAUGCUUGAGUGAUAACAAGAUGUGUGUCCAUGAGCUGUGCUUGAUAUCCUGGCUCAACUUAGUUAACUCUCCCUGCCCACUCAUCUAUAGCCUACAAUGCCCAAUCAAGGUGCCUGGUGGGCCUGGGACAGCCAAACACUUAGAUGGUACAGGUUGCACUUGGUGGGGGCCAGCUACAGCCAAAGGCUGAGACGAUCCAGGUUUCAGAAAUGGAAUUUAAUGAGGCCAUUGCCAAGAAUACAGUUACAACUUACAAGUGAAAGUGUAAUGCUGAAAGAAACCAAGACAGAGGAGCAUUCAUAGUGUACAUUCCACUAGACCAAAUAAAUGUAGUGGCUCUUGUGCACAUGGCUGGUCUAUACAAAGCCACCCUAUUCCAGUUUAGUUUAAUGGACUCAAUGCUGAAAACAUAGAGUUAAAAUAUUUGGAGAGAUCUGAUGAACA